GCUUGCUAUGAUAACAAUUAGUGGCAGACGGGUGAGUAAUGCAUAGGAAUCUACCUAGUAGUAUGGGAUAGCCACUAGAAAUGGUGGGUAAUACUGUAUAAUCCCUGCGGGGGAAAGAUUUAUCGCUAUUAGAUGAGCCUAUGUUAGAUUAGCUAGUUGGUAGGGUAAAGGCCUACCAAGGCAGUGAUCUAUAGCUGGUCUGAGAGGAUGAUCAGCCACACUGGAACUGAGAUACGGUCCAGACUCCUACGGGAGGCAGCAGUGGGGAAUAUUGGACAAUGGGCGCAAGCCUGAUCCAGCUAUGCCGCGUGAGUGAGGAAGGCCUUAGGGUUGUAAAACUCUUUCAGUGGGGAAGAUAAUGACGGUACCCACAGAAGAAGUCCCGGCAAACUCC
rnacentral:rRNA from 1 species